CGCGUAGGCGGCUUGGUCAGUCGGGUGUGAAAUCCCUGGGCUUAACCUAGGAAUUGCAUUCGAUACUGCCUGGCUAGAGUGUGGUAGAGGGAAGUGGAAUUCCAGGUGUAGCGGUGAAAUGCGUAGAUAUCUGGAGGAACAUCAGUGGCGAAGGCGACUUCCUGGACCAACACUGACGCUGAGGUGCGAAAGCGUGGGGAGCAAACA
rnacentral:rRNA from 1 species